CGCGUAGGCGGACCUGUAAGUCGGGAGUGAAAACUCGGGGCUCAACUCCGAGCCUGCUUCUGAAACUGCGGGUCUUGAGGACCGGAGAGGAGAGUGGAAUUCCUGGUGUAGCGGUGGAAUGCGUAGAUAUCAGGAAGAACACCGGCGGCGAAGGCGGCUCUCUGGACGGUUCCUGACGCUGAGGCGCGAAAGCUGGGGGAGCAAACAGGAUUAGAUACCCUGGUAGUCCCAGCCGUAAACGAUGAGUGCUAGGUGGUGGUGGUUUCAACGCCUUCACCGCCGACGCUAACGCAUUAAGCACUCCGCCUGGGGAGUACGGCCGCAAGGUUGAA
rnacentral:rRNA from 1 species